GUCAAAUCAUCAUGCCCCUUAUGUCCUGGGCUACACACGUACUACAAUGGCGGCACGACAGAGGGAAGCAAGACAGCGAUGUGGAGCAAAUCCCUAAAAGCCGCCCCAGUUCAGAUUGCAGGCUGCAACUCGCCUGCAUGAAGUCGGAAUUGCUAGUAAUCGCGGAUCAGCAUGCCGCGGUGAAUACGUUCCCGGGCCUU
rnacentral:rRNA from 1 species